rnacentral:rRNA from 1 species
GACGAACCGAGCGAACGUUGUUCGGAAUCACUGGGCUUAAAGGGCGCGUAGGCGGGUUCUCAAGUCUGUGGUGAAAUCCCCCGGCUUAACCGGGGAACUGCCGUGGAUACUGGGGAUCUCGAGGGGUGUAGGGGCAUGCGGAACUCAGGGUGGAGCGGUGAAAUGCGUAGAUAUCCUGAGGAACGCCGGUGGCGAAAGCGGCGUGCUGGACACCUUCUGACGCUGAGGCGCGAAAGCCAGGGGAGCAAACGGG